rnacentral:lncRNA from 10 species
CAUGGAAACAGCCUCUUCUGUUUGAUGAGAAUCAUCCCAAAGUUGGCAUAUGAAGCUUGAGUUUCAACUAGCGGGCAACAAGAGGAAUGAAUAUUCCUGAAGGAGGCAGAUUAUUAGACCCAGAGUAUACUUUCUGAGGUACCCUACGCGAAGGAAGGAUCAUUGCACCAUUACGGAGACGAGGAUACAAACUGUCAGGCCUCUGAGCCCAAGCUAAGCCAUCACAUCUCCUGUGACCUGCACAUAUACAUCCAGAUGACCUGAAGCAAAUGAAGAACCACAAAAAAUAACAUUCCACCAUUGUGAUCUGUUCCUACCCACCCUAACUGAUCAAUUGACCUUAUGACAAUACCCCCUCCCCGCCCUUGCAAUAAUAUACUUUGUCAUACUCCCCCGCCCUUAAGAAGGUACUUUGUAAUAUUCUCCCCGCCCUUGAGAAUGUACUUUGUGAGAUCCACCCCCUGCCUAUAAAAAAUUGCUCCUAACUCCACCGCCUAUCCCAAACCUAUAAGAACUAAUGAUAAUCCCAGCACCCUUUGCUGACUCCUUUCUUGGACACAGCCUGCUUGCACCCAGGUGAAAUAAACAGCCUUGUUGCUCACACAAAGC